GCCUACGGGAGGCAGCAGUGAGGAAUAUUGGUCAAUGGGAGAGAUCCUGAACCAGCCAAGCCGCGUGAGGGAAGACGGCCCUAUGGGUUGUAAACCUCUUUUGUCGGAGAACAAAACCCGGGACGUGUCCCGGACUGCGUGUAUCCGAAGAAAAAGCAUCGGCUAACUCCGUGCCAGCAGCCGCGGUAAUACGUAGGGGGCAAGCGUUAUCCGGAUUUACUGGGUGUAAAGGGAGCGUAGACGGCGAUGCAAGUCUGAAGUGAAAGGCGGGGGCCCAACCCCCGGACUGCUUUGGAAACUGUAUA
rnacentral:rRNA from 1 species